AUUGAACGCUGGCGGCAGGCCUAACACAUGCAAGUCGAGCGGAUGAAGGGAGCUUGCUCCUGGAUUCAGCGGCGGACGGGUGAGUAAUGCCUAGGAAUCUGCCUGGUAGUGGGGGAUAACGUCCGGAAACGGGCGCUAAUACCGCAUACGUCCUGAGGGAGAAAGUGGGGGAUCUUCGGACCUCACGCUAUCAGAUGAGCCUAGGUCGGAUUAGCUAGUUGGUGGGGUAAAGGCCUACCAAGGCGACGAUCCGUAACUGGUCUGAGAGGAUGAUCAGUCACACUGGAACUGAGACACGGUCCAGACUCCUACGGGAGGCAGCAGUGGGGAAUAUUGGACAAUGGGCGAAAGCCUGAUCCAGCCAUGCCGCGUGUGUGAAGAAGGUCUUCGGAUUGUAAAGCACUUUAAGUUGGGAGGAAGGGCAGUAAGUUAAUACCUUGCUGUUUUGACGUUACCAACGGAAUAAGCACCGGCUAACUUCGU
rnacentral:rRNA from 1 species